UGGCGGCAGUAGCGCGGUGGUCCCACCUGACCCCAUGCCGAACUCAGAAGUGAAACGCCGUAGCGCCGAUGGUAGUGUGGGGUCUCCCCAUGCGAGAGUAGGGAACUGCCA
rnacentral:rRNA from 37 species